GUGGUAUCGAUAAUUACACUCACCCCCCUGAAAGGUAGUUAAAAACUCUAACGGGAUAAUGCAUUGGAUACAUUAUUCUGAUAGGGUUCUAAUGAACUAUUACUUUUAGCUAGUUGUGGAGAUAACAUAGAGUUAUGGGGAGUUAUGGGGUGACAUGGCUCCCCCAAUAUUUUUUAAAUCACCCAGAACUCUUUGUUGUCUUCACCACUUCCUGAAACCAAUAGUCCGUUAGAACUCUAUCGUAAUAACGCAUCCAAUGCAUUAUACCAUUGGAGUUUAUAACUACGUCUCAAGGGGGUGAUUGUAAUUAUCGAUACC
rnacentral:lncRNA from 1 species